rnacentral:lncRNA from 1 species
GCGGUGAGUUUAGUCUUCCGCCUUCCUGAUUGUAAAAAUGACCAGUGACUAACUUGAAUAGUGACAUUGUAUUAGUAUAUAUGGUUAGUAUUGCCGUGCUUUGAGCUCAUGCAUAACUCAUGCUAUUUGAAUAUAAAUAUAUAUCAUUUAAAUAAUAAUAAAGAAUCGCUUUAACUUUCUAUUGUACUAAUUUAAAUAUUGAGUACGUAAAGCAAAACAUAGCGUAUAAAGCUAUAGUUUAUUUCAAAAUACGCAGUGCAAAACUAUUGUCGUCAAUCGUCAAGAAACAUGAAUAUGAUAUGAAUGGAAAACAUAUAACACUGAAAACACAAAUAAUAUGAAAUGCUUAAUAAUGAAAUAAAAUGGAUAAAUAUAUCCGGUGACA